GAUGAAGAACGCAGCGAAAUGCGAUAAGUAGUGUUAAUUGCAGAAUUCAGUGAAUCAUCGAAUCUUUGAACGCACAUUGCGCCCCUUGGUAUUCCAUGGGGCAUGCCUGUUCGAGCGUCAUUUGUACCUUCAAGCUCUGCUUGGUGUUGGGUGUUUGUCUCGCCUCUGCGUGUAGACUCGCCUCAAAACAAUUGGCAGCCGGCGUAUUGAUUUCGGAGCGCAGUACAUCUCGCGCUUUGCACUCAUAACGACGACGUCCAAAAGUACAUUUUUACACUCUUGACCUCGGAUCAGGUAGGGAUACCCGCUGAACUUAAGCAUAUCAAUAAGCGGAGGA
rnacentral:misc_RNA from 1 species